AAUAAAGGAAAUCGACCGUAGAGCUUCAUCGGAGCCGGAUCUUUAUAUUUUGAGCCCAGAUUAAUGAUCAGCUCGCGGGGAUCUUCGAUUUGAGUAAUUUUGAAAGAUUUGGAAGGAAUGUUGGUGAAGAUCUAGAGUAUUUGAAAGUUCUUGAGCUAAAGAAGUGAAAUUUGGGGUUUCAUUGGUGUUCUUGAGAAAGAGGUAAGAAUCUCAUUUUUUUUCUUUUGAUUUGAUCUUAGAUCUAGGUUGAAGAUAUAUGAUUGGACCUAAGAUGAGUGAUUUGAGUCGCCGGAUAAACCGCAAACAAGUUCCCCAAGCCGGAGAGAAGAUGGGGAAGAUGAUGGAAGAAUUUUGUUUCAAGACUGGGGGGUGUUUCAGACCCACCAGUCUUUGGGUCUCUGGCCCACCUAAGUUCCCAUAACUCGAUUUAUGAACUCUGGUGUAACCGGAAAGCAUGAAACCAAUGGGCACCAAGGCCCGCCUGUCUUUGAUUCAUGCCCACCUAUCUUUCGAGAAUGCCCAGAAUGGGUCCAAAUUUGAUGGGUUACACUCAUUAUACGCGUAUCCACACAUCGGAUCUCUUGAGUGUCGAGUACAAGCACCGUGUACAUAUACAAGUGAUUUUACAGGUCACCCGCCUGGAGAUUAGGAGCCGGGCCCCACUGUGGAGUUCCCCUCUGAGGACUGGCGGGUCCCUGAUGAGUUCAAGCACGGUGUUGAUUGCACGUGCAAGGAUUGUGCUACAUGACAGCAGUGACUCCUGAGUGAUUCUUUUUUAUUCUUUUGAUGUACUCCCUCUUGAUGACUUGAUACUUAAAUUGUUAUAUUUUUGUGCAUAUAUCAUGCC